rnacentral:lncRNA from 1 species
AAAAUAUUAGAUAGAGCUACCACAAUGUAGGAUCGUGGCCAGGUAACCUUUUUAACCCUUUAGAUACUUUUGAUAGAAAUUUGAUGAGAUUAACUGAUAGUGAUGGCGUGCUUUUUAGUGAACUAGCCUGCAAAAUGUAACGUGCGAAAACUAUUGGGCUAAGUGGCAACUUGACAAUUGAAAUUGUUUACUUUUAGUUGUUUUUAUUUCUGUGUUCUUUGAAAAAGUCAUUGAUAUUAAACCAUACAAACUGCAUAAUUCAUUGCUGAAGGUUUUUUUGUCAGUUCUUUUACAUUAAGUAAUAAGAACCAUCUCUAUAGAGGGUUCUCAAUAAAAUUUGAAGACCGAUACAAUUUUUUAUAUUGAUUUUACUGAGAAAUCUAAAUUUACUACAUAUUUGAAGUUUUCCAACUGUUAUUUAGAACAAUUUCAAUCUCUCUCUUCUAUUGGUUAAGCUUUUCCUCAUAUUU